CAGGCUAGUGACCAAUCCCGACUGCGUCCUCUGGACUCUUCGAGCUGCAAUUGGGUACUGACUCAGGAUGAAGGCGUGGCUCUUGAUUGGCUUUGACUCAUGCCUAUGAGACUGUGAGGAUCUCGUUUCCCUAGUAACGGAUUGGCACUGAGAGAGACCAAUUAUUUAAAGGGAAAGAAACUGAGGUUCAGAGAGAUUUAUUGCUCAAAACACCCAGGAAUUGAACACAGGUUCCUGGCAGGAUUAUUCUGUCCUGCCACCUUAUAGACAGGCAUGACCACAUGCCCUGCUUUGGCCAACCCACCGAGAGCAGAAGGGACAUGUAUCUUUUCCAGGAAGAGAAGUCUUUGGAACUAGUGAUUAUUUGAUGAGGUCUUCCCUCCCCACACUACCCCCAUAUUCAAUAUCAUGCAAUUUGGGGAAUCUCCCUCGACCUGGGUCCCAGAGCAAAAAUCAUUUGCACAGAGCCACUCCUCCAAACUGCCCAAACUGCAAUGGUCAUAGGACAUAAACAAGGAGGAAAUCUGUUGUUUUAAGCUGUUGAGGUUUUGUGAUGUUUUGCUGCAAUAGCGUUACCUGGCAUUUCUUGGCAGUUACAGGUAAGUUUCUAGAUCUUCCAGUGUUUCAGCAGACACUCAAAUCUGGAUUACUCACCGUUCUUUUUUAACAUUUUAUUAAUGGUAUAAAAGUGUUUGGUCCUCGCUUCUUUUUUUUUUUUGAAAGAUUUUAUUUAUUUGAGAGAGAGAGAAAGAGCAUGUACAUGGGUGGGGGAGGGGGAGAGAAUC